rnacentral:rRNA from 1 species
GAUGAACGCUAGCGGCAGGCCUAACACAUGCAAGUCGAGGGAGACGCUCUUUCGGGGGCAGAAACCGGCGCACGGGUGCGUAACGCGUAUGCAACCUACCUUUCACAGGGGGAUAGCCCGAAGAAAUUUGGAUUAAUACUCUAUAAUACUAUUGGAUGGCAUCAUUUGAUAAUUAAAACUGCGGUGGUGAAAGAUGGGCAUGCGUCCUAUUAGCUAGUUGGAGUGGUAACGGCACCUCAAGGCUACGAUAGGUAGGGGUCCUGAGAGGGAGAUCCCCCACACUGGUACUGGGACAGGGACCAGACUCCUGCGGGAGGCAGCAGUGAGGAAUAUUAGUCAAUGGUCGGAAGUCUGAACCAGCCAUGCCGCGUGCAGGAAGAAUGCCUUAUGGGAUGUAAACUGCUUUUAUAGGGGUAGAAUAAGGCGUACGUGUACGUUGAUGACGGUACCAGAUGAAUAAGCAUCGGCUAACUCCGUG